UCUCUGUUAGUAUAUCGGUUAGUACACGCGCCUGUCAGUUUAACUGUGCGCGCGAAAGCGGGGUUCGACUCCCCGACAGAGAG